CACAUCCUCUCUACUGAGGAAACACAGCUAGCUACUGCUAAAGAUGCACCACGGCACUCCUCCCUCUUUAGUGACCUCCAAUGUUGGUUUACAGAGUAUACCACCUGGUUAUUCAUGUGGAACACAAUCGUACACUGACACUGAUAAACAAUCCUUUAAAAUGCUACAUGUAAAAAAAUAAAAAUUAAAAAAUGCUACAUGUAAGAUUUGAGGGUCCCCCGCCAUAGUCAGCUUUGUAAAAUAAAUAGCUGCCCAAUUUCCCAAUUCUGUUUGAUUUUCAGUAAGAGACCAACCACCUGGGAGGAACGUUUUACAGCUGAUCAUAAAGUCUCCAUCAACCACCCUUGCAUCAGGUUCCUAAAUAGCUCCCAAAAUUAUCUUCAAAAGGUUAAAUGUAUAUGCUAUGUUUCCAAUGUAUGUUAAAAUGAGAACAAUGCUGAAAAAAAAAUUUUUUUUCCUUCUUACUCUCAAAGAAGAUUGGAGAAUGUCACCCCAAACACCCUGCAAAAACUGGACAAAGCCACCUUCGCCUCCCUCGCUGUCCCGCUGUGGGGAGCAGAUCGGAAACACCAGCCUGCGCGCUCUCCCCGGGCAGAACCCAUAACAAAGGAAAUAUCCUCAGGUGCUGGGGACAACUUCGGCGUGGGCUGUUGUCAAACACGGACACGGCUGAUAAAACAAUUUAACAAAACGCCUUUUCACUCUGACACACUGUAGAGGAAUGCAGUUCAGAAGAGACGAUGUUAUCACUCCACAGAGAGCAGGGAAAUCUCCGCUCCGGGGUCGGCCCGGACCGCGAGGAAGAGGCACCCACAGGGAUUGAACUCGGGACCUUGUGCUUCUGAGGCAGGCAGCGGGACCACUGAUCUAAAUCCCCAACCCCAGACUUUUAAGUUUCUGGCAUCACUGGAUUACAGCCAGAAGACUCCAAACAUGAAGGUGGUCAUCUUGUCGGCAGAGUUUCACUGCCUCCUACGACCGACCGUCAUCUAAGUGCACAAGGAAGGACUGACCAGUCAGUGGGCGUGGUAGAAGUGUUGGGGAUGGAACCCAGGGCUUCAAGUCUACCAGGCAAGGCCCAUCCCCCCAUGCAUUUUCUUUCUUUUUUUUUUGAAGCAAAAUUAUUGGUACACUUUAGAUAUGCAUGAUGAUAACACUCAUCAAAGGGAAUGUGCACCUGUAUAUGAUAGGCAUUUUCUCAGCAGCAAGCUCCUCUGGCCCCAGGUCCUUCCAGUGGAAAUGGCAAGGCCUGCCUCCCGCACGUCCAUCCCCAGGAGGCAUCGGCCCACUCAUGGAAAUGCAAAGCCACAGUGUCUACAUCUGUGCUCCUGUGCAAAUAUUUGCUUCAGAGGAAAUGUCUUCAGUGCUUGUACAACCAAUUUUCUUGCAGUCGGCGAGGAGACUUGGAGAAUUAAUGCGUGCAUUAAAAGAACUUCUUGUAAGAGUCCAAACAAUCGCUGUGUGGCCUUCAUCACCACACAGACUCAAUGGCCUUUUCCAUCCACUCUCCUCACUCCAGCUUUAUACAAACUGCUCGAGUCUUUAGCAGUGUUGCCAAGGAGAAUUAAGUUGCUAUUUGCCACCUGGUGUUGUCUUACUUAACACAUUUGCAAACUGCUCCUCAACCUCCCUUUGGAACUGUGAGUUUAGAAGGAAAGGGAAUAAAAAGAAAAAAUCAGAAAUGAAAAGUGAGGAAACCUAUAAGGUCCUGACACUUAUUUUUAAUAGCCGAUGCCUGUUUGGUCCUGUCUCCAUGUUCUGUCCUUUAUCUUAUUCAUCUCCUCUUGAAGUUCAUCUUAUUUUUUGCUUUUCACCCUCCAGAAUUUAAUCAAAGAAGAAACACAUUUUUUCCCCAUGACAAAAGAACAUACUUGGUCUCAAAAUGGAGUGGUCUGAGUGUUUGCAAUGGAAUUUGAUCCUAGAUUUUUUGAGAUCCCGCCCGUUGGAAGCCUGUUUUCAAGUGUUCAGGGUUCCAUUUCGCCUUUUCAUUUAUUAAUUCAGCAAACAUUUGUUGAGAAUAUGUUUUUGUCUGGCACUGUGCUGCCUUCAUUUUUCCCCUGCUUUCUGACUUACGUUCUUUUUAGCUCAGUUAUCAACUACCAGGAGUGAAUAAAAUAAAAAGAGGUCCAAUAACUCUCUCAGUGACACAGAAGCACAUUCUUUUCCACUGCAAGACACUUUUGCCUCUGCAGCUUUUUGAAAUAUGAGGAAUAACAGCUAGAAGUUCUAUCAGACUUGAUCAGAGAGCAAAUACUUCAUUUCUAUUAAAAUGUGUUGUUUUACAGAGUAGCACUGAGUCAUCCUCAGCAGCCACUGAAAAUGAGGUUUUCGUCCUCUGGAAAGAAGCUAUAUUUCAUUUGUUAUAAUAGCAAUUUGCUGAAGCCUUAAAUUGGAAACAGGGGAGGGGAGGACGGGGUAGGGGGACAGCUGACAAAUCAGUAAUAAUUGCAGAUGUUAGGAUCCCCUGGGGAAUUUGUAGUCUGAGAAAAAAAGAUAGUAGAACCCAGAAAUGAAAAUAAACUACAAUAGGGCCGGGGAUUUAGCUCAGUGGUUCCGGCACCUGCCUCACAAGCACAAGGACCUGAGUUUGAUCCCCGGUACCAAAAAAAAAAGAAAAAAAGAAAAGAAAAGAAACUACAAUAAAGCCCUUUAUUGCUGGAUGUCAUUCCCUCUGGGGAUGAGGAGUGUGAACAUCGGGAACCUUGAGCAGGCAAAGUGCAGCUUCCAAAGGAAGCGCGGGCUGGAGUUAAGACUGGGCAGGGUUAAGAGGGACGUGUUUAAACCCAUCCUGCUGUGGAGAUGCUGGAGUUGUUCAGGGUUCAGAUUUCCACCCUCAACUCAGAGGAGGAAGCCGGCCUCACUCGGCACUAGCAACAGAGAGAUGAGGGUGGUUUCUUUCCUAACGGGCUGAGCAGUGUCCUUCCAAACACGCCUCUCCCUGGACAGAGAAGAUUCCCAAGCCCUGAGACAGAGAGAAGGUUUGAGUGUUGAGAAGCUAAGGGCUGCUUGGGGUCAUCUGAGACUGUGAGCCAGGAGCAAGGACAUGUUAAAGGUAAUUAACGUCUGUAUUCUAAAGAGCAGCGGGAGCAGGUUAGAACAGAUGAUUCUGAAGCCAUAAAAAGAACCCAGGACAGUCUGUGGGUGGAAGGAGACCUCACUACAGUGAGUGACGGGCACUGCAGUCAGCAGUUCAUUAGCAUUUUCAUUUCCCUUAGCACUUGCUUCAGUGGGGCAGUCUGAGCAUUAACAAGAAGAUGGCUCACACUGUCAGUGAAAUGAAGAGUUUCUUUGGAAAACUGAACUUGUAAAUGUAACGAAUGGUGGAUCCUGGAGUAUCUGUUCUGUCCAUCUGGAAGCAAAGAGAAUCUCUGCCAGGAACUAUCAAUAAGACAGUGACAGCGACCUGCCUAAAAGGCACAGAGUGGGAAUGAAUCUAAGCUAGGUGCUUCCCUUUAUGUGGAUGGCACUUGGUAAAAGGUAGAGCUAUGGCAUCGUCCCUUAUACAUGAAAGCCAAUGCCCAACAUGCCAGGGAGAGGACCCAUGAGCUAUGGCCACAGUGAUGAAAGCUCACAGAAGCACUCACUUCCAGAAGGCCAGCUCCUGGGUGGCCAAGGAUGCCCGGAUCUUGUGGACACGCUUGAUGACCAAAGUGUUCCGUAAUUCAGGCACACCUUGAGUUUUGGAGAGACUGGAGCAGAGAAAAAACAGAAUAUUGAAAAGGCAACACCAAUUCAGGUCUCAUCACACUUUCUUGCUGGAUAAAAGUACUUUCAGGAGGCUUUAGUCUCUAGCAGGGUAGCACAACCCAAAAAGGAAAUCCUUAUUAUAUAAUUUGAGAUGGUUCUUUACGUGUAUUUAAUCCUCACUUCAAGUUAAAUACUUUUAUAUUUGGUAUUGGGGAUUGAACUCGGGACCUUGCACUUGUGAGGCAGGUGACAGAACCACUGAGGUAAAUCCCCAGCCCUUCAAAUUAAAUACUUAAAGUUCAGUUUUUAAUGUAUAAGCACAUGGGGGGCUGGGGGGCUGGCUCAGUGGGAAAGCAAUUACCUAGCAUGCAUAAGGCCCUGAGUUCAAGCCCCAGCACUGAAAGAAAAAAAAUA